rnacentral:rRNA from 1 species
CGGUCCUACGGGAGGCAGCAGUGAGGAAUAUUGGUCAAUGGACGAGAGUCUGAACCAGCCAAGUAGCGUGAAGUAUGACUGCCCUAUGGGUUGUAAACUUCUUUUAUAUGUGAAUAAAAUGUUCCACGUGUGGGAUUUUGUAUGUACCAUAUAAAUAAGGAUCGGCUAACUCCGUGCCAGCAGCCGCGGUAAUACGGAGGAUCCGAUCGUUAUCCGGAUUUAUUGGGUUU